GGAGAUGUCAGUAUGGGCGGUGUCAGUAGGGGACACCAGCGGAGGUGUCAGCUGGGGAGGUGUCAGUAGGGGACACCAGCAGAGGGUCAGCAGGGGACACCAGCGGAGGUGUCAGUAGGGGAGGUGUCAGUAGGGGACACCGGCGGAGGGUCAGCAGGGGACACCAGCGGAGGUGUCAGCUGGGGAGGUGUCAGUAGGGGACACCAGCAGAGGGUCGCAUGGGACACCAGCGGAGGGUCAGCAGGGGACACCAGCGGAGGUGUCAGCUGGGGAGGUGUCAGUAGGGGACACCAGCAGAGGGUCAGCAGGGGACACCAGCGGAGGUGUCAGCUGGGGAGGUGUCAGUAGGGGACACCGGCGGAGGGUCAGCAGGGGAGGUGUCAGUAGGGGACACCAGCAGAGGGUCGCAUGGGACACCAGCGGAGGGUCAGCAGGGGACACCAGCGGAGGGUCAGCAGGGGACACCAGCGGAGGGUCAGCAGGGGACACCAGCGGAGGUGUCAGCUGGGGAGGUGUCAGUAGGGGACACCAGCGAGGUGCAAGUAGGGGAGGUGUCAGUAGGGGACACCAGCGAGGUGCAAGUAGGGGAGGUGUCAGUAGGGGACACCAGCGAGGUGCAAGUAGGGGAGGUGUCAGUAGGGGAGGUGUCAGUAGGGGAGGUGUCAGUAGGGGAGGUGUCAGUAGGGGAGGUGUCAGUAGGUGUCAGUAGGGGAGGUGUCAGCAGGGGACACCAGCGGAGGUGUCAGUUGGGGAGGUGUCAGUAGGGGACACCACCAAGGUGUCAGUAGGGGGAGGUGUCAGUAAGGGACACCAGCAAGGUGUCAGUAGGGGAGGUGUCAGUAGGGGAGGUGUCAGUAGGUGUCAGUAGGGGAGGUGUCAGCAGGGGACACCAGCGGAGGUGUCAGUUGGGGAGGUGUCAGUAGGGGACACCACCAAGGUGUCAGUAGGGGGAGGUGUCAGUAGGGGACACCAGUGAGGUGUAAGUAGGGGACACCAGCAAGGUGUCAGUAGGGGAAGUGUCAGUAUU